GAGUUUGAUCUUGGCUCAGAACGAACGCUGGCGGCAGGCUUAACACAUGCAAGUCGAACGCUCCGCAAGGGGAGUGGCAGACGGGUGAGUAACGCGUGGGAACCUACCCAAUGGUACGGAACAACCAAGGGAAACUUUGGCUAAUGCCGUAUGUGCCCGAUAGGGGAAAGAUUUAUCGCCAUUGGAUGGGCCCGCGUCGGAUUAGCUAGUUGGUGAGGUAAUGGCUCACCAAGGCGACGAUCCGUAGCUGGUCUGAGAGGAUGAUCAGCCACACUGGGACUGAGACACGGCCCAGACUCCUACGGGAGGCAGCAGUGGGGAAUAUUGGACAAUGGGCGAAAGCCUGAUCCAGCCAUGCCGCGUGAGUGAUGAAGGCCUUAGGGUUGUAAAGCUCUUUCAGCGGGGAAGAUAAUGACGGUACCCGCAGAAGAAGCCCCGGCUAACUUCGUGCCAGCCGCCGCAGUAAC
rnacentral:rRNA from 1 species